AGAGUUUGAUCAUGGCUCAGAGCGAACGCUGGCGGCAGGCUUAACACAUGCAAGUCGAGCGGGCGUAGCAAUACGUCAGCGGCAGACGGGUGAGUAACGCGUGGGAACAUACCUUUUGGUUCGGAACAACACAGGGAAACUUGUGCUAAUACCGGAUAAGCCCUUACGGGGAAAGAUUUAUCGCCGAAAGAUUGGCCCGCGUCUGAUUAGCUAGUUGGUGAGGUAAUGGCUCACCAAGGCGACGAUCAGUAGCUGGUCUGAGAGGAUGAUCAGCCACAUUGGGACUGAGACACGGCCCAAACUCCUACGGGAGGCAGCAGUGGGGAAUAUUGGACAAUGGGCGCAAGCCUGAUCCAGCCAUGCCGCGUGAGUGAUGAAGGCCCUAGGGUUGUAAAGCUCUUUUGUGCGGGAAGAUAAUGACGGUACCGCAAGAAUAAGCCCCGGCUAACUUCGUGCCAGCAGCCGCGGUAAUACGAAGGGGGCUAGCGUUGCUCGGAAUCACUGGGCGUAAAGGGUGCGUAGGCGGGUCUUUAAGUCAGGGGUGAAAUCCUGGAGCUCAACUCCAGAACUGCCUUUGAUACUGAAGAUCUUGAGUUCGGGAGAGGUGAGUGGAACUGCGAGUGUAGAGGUGAAAUUCGUAGAUAUUCGCAAGAACACCAGUGGCGAAGGCGGCUCACUGGCCCGAUACUGACGCUGAGGCACGAAAGCGUGGGGAGCAAACAGGAUUAGAUACCCUAGUAGUCC
rnacentral:rRNA from 1 species